AACGCGAAGAACCUUACCUGGGCUCGAAAUGGAGUGGACCGGGGUGGAAACAUCCCUUCCCCGCAAGGGGCUGCUCUAUAGGUGCUGCAUGGCUGUCGUCAGCUCGUGUCGUGAGAUGUUGGGUUAAGUCCCGCAACGAGCGCAACCCUUAUUACCAGUUGCCAUCAUUCAGUUGGGCACUCCGGUGAGACCGCCUCGGAUAACGGGGAGGAAGGCGGGGAUGACGUCAAGUCCUCAUGGCCUUUAUGUCCAGGGCUACACACGUGCUACAAUGGCCGGUACAAACCGUCGCAAACCCGCGAGGGGGAGCUAAUCGGAAAAAGCCGGCCUCAGUUCGGAUUGCAGUCUGCAACUCGACUGCAUGAAGCUGGAAUCGCUAGUAAUCGCGGAUCAGAACGCCGCGGUGAAUACGUUCCCGGGCCUUGUACACACCGCUCGCGA
rnacentral:rRNA from 1 species